rnacentral:rRNA from 1 species
GGCCUAACAAUGCAAGUCGAGCGGAUGAAGGGAGCUUGCUCUCUGAUUCAGCGGCGGACGGGUGAGUAAUGCCUAGGAAUCUGCCUGGUAGUGGGGGACAACGUUCCGAAAGGAGCGCUAAUACCGCAUACGUCCUACGGGAGAAAGUGGGGGAUCUUCGGACCUCACGCUAUCAGAUGAGCCUAGGUCGGAUUAGCUAGUAGGUGGGGUAAUGGCUCACCUAGGCGACGAUCCGUAACUGGUCUGAGAGGAUGAUCAGUCACACUGGAACUGAGACACGGUCCAGACUCCUACGGGAGGCAGCAGUGGGGAAUAUUGGACAAUGGGCGAAAGCCUGAUCCAGCCAUGCCGCGUGUGUGAAGAAGGUCUUCGGAUUGUAAAGCACUUUAAGUUGGGAGGAAGGGCAG